rnacentral:lncRNA from 1 species
AUAUAAAACACAACUGAAUUUAAUGAUUAGUACACGUCUGCUCUGUUGAUGAGCUGGUGACAUCGGAUGAGUAACUGUUUCAGUGUGCGGAAAGUUAUGCGGCCACUGCAUGCAACUGUUGCAAGGACUGCCCUAAUUCCCAAGUAUCUCCUGAGUCAGGAGUGGGAACAUGAAGAAAAGAGAAGAAAAAGAAAGAAGACAGCAGUCCCAACAGUAUACAAGGUGAUUUAUAGGCAUCGCUUCAUGUAAUUGUCACAAGACCCUGCACGGAUUGGAAUAGUGUCCUAUCAAUAAUGCCUAUUUUAUAUUGGAGAAAAUAAGCACAAGAAUUGUGCAGACUAUGCUUUCCAGUUGAAACAUUCUACAUAUAAACAUCCUCAGAAACCAGUUCUUUUACAUCUGAUUAACCUGUCUUAUAAGAGCAAGAACAUCUAUUUGUGCAACUCAAGGGGAAAAGACGUCUGACUUAAUCAUUUGCCUGCUCCCCCCGCCUCUUCACUUGGAUAAGCUUAUGCAUUUCCAGGGCCACCUUAAUGCGCAGGGGCCACCUCCAUCUCUCAGGCCCAAGGCAAGAGCUCGAGUCACGGUAAACUCGAUGAGAGGCAAGACUGCCAAACAAACCAGACAGAUAUUUUAUCUUAAACAGAUUUCAAAGGAACAUCAAAGUUUUCUGGAAAAUAUACUUCUCCAAUCUGCAUUUCAUGUUUUCUGAAGUGCCGACUGCCAGAGC